AUUGAACGCUGGCGGCAUGCCUUACACAUGCAAGUCGAACGGCAGCACGGGAGCAAUCCUGGUGGCGAGUGGCGAACGGGUGAGUAAUGUAUCGGAACGUACCUUUCAGUGGGGGAUAACGUAGCGAAAGUUACGCUAAUACCGCAUAUUCUGUGAGCAGGAAAGCAGGGGGAUCGCAAGACCUUGCGCUGAUUGAGCGGCCGAUAUCAGAUUAGCUAGUUGGUGAGGUAAAGGCUCACCAAGGCGACGAUCUGUAGCGGGUCUGAGAGGAUGAUCCGCCACACUGGAACUGAGACACGGUCCAGACUCCUACGGGAGGCAGCAGUGGGGAAUUUUGGACAAUGGGCGCAAGCCUGAUCCAGCCAUGCCGCGUGAGUGAA
rnacentral:rRNA from 1 species